UUGUCCAAGUAUACCCAGUAAGCUGGUAGAAAAACCCAAAGUAAAACUUGUACAAAGUAAAAGUUGUCUCCUGAUACCCUGUCCCAAACACUUCCCACUCCUCCUUCUUGCCUCUUCUUAUGAUGCAGGCUACAUUGCCUUCCAAGGUACCAAAAGAUAGGGUGACUGGAACUGAUCUCUGAGUGUCACCCUGGCCAUCCUGAUUUCACUGACUCGACAGUCAGGUUUCAAUCCCAAAUCCGGUUUCCAGCACACAAAGAGGUAUGUGUUGGCAGUGAAACAAAAGCCAAUGUGGGUGGCAAGGUAGCUGCAAAUUUAAGCAUGAGUGCUCUGGGUGUGGGGGCUUACACCUGAUUACCAGAUGCUUCAAGCAGAUGGCCAGGGAAAAAAAGAGAGCAAGGCUCAUGGUUGCUUCAAUGGGGUUACAAAAAGCACUGAAUCUAGAGAGAGCAGAAAGAAUGCUUGGCUGCCUAUCCCAGGGACCAAGACAGACCUGAGCACAGUAAGUCUCUCAUUUUACUGAUGAAGAAACUGAGACAAACUGAGACAAACAUGGUCCGAGGCCAGAUCUGAACUCACAUAGGUAAGUCUUCCCUACUCUAGGCCCAGUGCUCUAUCCACUGUGUCACCUAGCCACCCUGGCUCAAAUGCUACGUUCUACAUAAGGCCUUUCCUCAUUUCCCCAGUUACUAGUCCUUUCUUCCUUGAAAAAUUCCUCAUUUAUUGGAUACAUAUUUUGCACAUAUGUGUGUGUUGCCUCUCCCAAAAGAAUGUGAGCUUCCUGAGGAUAAGGGGCUGUUACAUUUCUGUCUCGGUAUCCCCAGUGCUUCACAUAAUAUUGAAAACAGAGUAGGUACUUAAUGAAGUGGUUGUGGAUUGAUUGAUUGAUCUUCCAGAAGGAUUUCUCAACCUCUACUAAUAUCAGCUACUACCCACUAACAAAAUCAUACCAUCACGAAUCCAAUCUGUUGUGGUUAUUAUAAUUCAGCUUCAAGGGCUAAUUUUGUGAACUGUAUUCAAUAAAUUAUGAUUCUUUCGACA
rnacentral:lncRNA from 1 species